rfam:Dengue virus type 2 strain 16681 capsid protein (C) gene, matrix protein (M) gene, envelope protein (E) gene, nonstructural protein (NS1, NS2A, NS2B, NS3, NS4A, NS4B, NS5) genes, mature peptides.
CUGGGACAGACCAGAAAUCCAACUAUCUACUCAGCAUCAUUCUAGGCACAGAACGCCAGAAAAUGGAAUGGUGCUGUUGAAUCAACAGGUUCU